AUUGAACGCUGGCGGCAUGCCUUACACAUGCAAGUCGAACGGCAGCACGGGAGCAAUCCUGGUGGCGAGUGGCGAACGGGUGAGUAAAGUAUCGGAACGUGCCCAGUCGUGGGGGAUAACGUAGCGAAAGUUACGCUAAUACCGCAUACGAUCUAUGGAUGAAAGCGGGGGGUCGCAAGACCUCGCGCGAUUGGAGCGGCCGAUAUCAGAUUAGGUAGUUGGUGGGGUAAAGGCCCACCAAGCCGACGAUCUGUAGCUGGUCUGAGAGGACGACCAGCCACACUGGGACUGAGACACGGCCCAGACUCCUACGGGAGGCAGCAGUGGGGAAUUUUGGACAAUGGGCGAAAGCCUGAUCCAGCCAUGCCGCGUGCAGGAUGAAGGCCUUCGGGUUGUAGACUGCUUUUGUACGGAACGAAAAGGACUGCCCUAAUACGGUGGUCCCAUGACGGUACCGUAAGAAUAAGCACCGGCUAACUACGUGCCAGCCGCCGCGGUAA
rnacentral:rRNA from 1 species